rnacentral:rRNA from 1 species
GACGAACGCUGGCGGCGUGCUUAACACAUGCAAGUCGAACGGAAAGGCCCAGCUUGCUGGGUGCUCGAGUGGCGAACGGGUGAGUAACACGUGGGUGAUCUGCCUCUAACUUCGGGAUAAGCUUGGGAAACUGGGUCUAAUACCGGAUAGGACAAUCGUUUAGUGUCGGUUGCGGAAAGUUUUUUCGGUUAGGGAUGAGCCCGCGGCCUAUCAGCUUGUUGGUGGGGUAAUGGCCUACCAAGGCGUCGACGGGUAGCCGGCCUGAGAGGGUGGACGGCCACAUUGGGACUGAGAUACGGCCCAGACUCCUACGGGAGGCAGCAGUGGGGAAUAUUGCACAAUGGGCGCAAGCCUGAUGCAGCGACGCCGCGUGGGGGAUGACGGCCUUCGGGUUGUAAACCUCUUUCGACAGGGACGAAGCUUUGGUGACGGUACCUGUAUAAGAAGCACCGGCUAACUACGUGCCAGCAGCCGCGGUAA